rfam:Dethiosulfatarculus sandiegensis strain SPR contig_3, whole genome shotgun sequence.
GGCGUUUUUCGCCCAGGCGGAGCUCGACCGCCUACGGAAGUGAUGGUUUCCUUUAUCGACACCCAGCGCCAGGUCCACGGGGUCGAGUCGAUCUGUGCGAUGCUGCCGAUCGCCCCG